UCGCGGCUUAUCACCGGCAGUCCCCUUAGAGUGCCCAACUAAAUGAUGGCAACUAAGGGCGAGGGUUGCGCUCGUUGCGGGACUUAACCCAACACCUCACGGCACGAGCUGACGACAGCCAUGCACCACCUGUGCAGGCUCCGAAGAGCGCCGUCUUUCAACGGUUUCACCCUGCAUGUCAAACCCAGGUAAGGUUCUUCGCGUUGCAUCGAAUUAAGCCGCAUGCUCCGCCGCUUGUGCGGGCCCCCGUCAAUUCCUUUGAGUUUCGGUCUUGCGACCGUACUCCCCAGGCGGGGUACUUCCUGCGUUAGCGCCGGCACCCAAGGGGUCGCUCCCCCAGGCACCUAGUACCCAUCGUUUACGGCGUGGACUAC
rnacentral:misc_RNA from 1 species